AUUGAACGCUGGCGGCGUGCUUAACACAUGCAAGUCGAGCGGUAACAGGUGUAGCAAUACAUGCUGACGAGCGGCGAACGGGUGAGUAAUGCUUCGGAAUCUUCCUCGUAGUGGGGAACAACCUGGGGAAACUCAGGCUAAUACCGCAUACGAACUACGGUUGAAAGCAGGGGAUCGCAAGACCUUGCGCUAUGAGAUGAGCCGAAGUCGGAUUAGCUAGUUGGUGAGGUAAAGGCUCACCAAGGCGACGAUCCGUAGCUGGUCUGAGAGGACGACCAGCCACACUGGGACUGAGACACGGCCCAGACUCCUACGGGAGGCAGCAGUGGGGAAUAUUGGACAAUGGGCGCAAGCCUGAUCCAGCGACGCCGCGUGUGUGAAGAAGGCCUGCGGGUUGUAAAGCACUUUUAGUGGGGAUGAAAGCCAAGGGCUAAUACCCUUUGGCCUUGACCUAACCCAAAGAAAAAGCACCGGCUAACUCUGUGCCAGC
rnacentral:rRNA from 1 species